AGAGCUUAGCUGAUUGGUGAACAGUGAUUGCUGGACUCUUUGUUCACAGUGGCUAAGUUCUGC
rnacentral:pre_miRNA from 1 species